CUUUCUUGUUUCAACGUUAUGUAUUGUAUUAUCUGUUGUUAUGUGUAGUAUCAGAUAUGUGAUUCAAUAGGUCACAUGAUAUUAAAUUACUCUUUUGAGGAGGAGAAGCCAUUUUAAUAUUUUGUUAUUAGUCUUCUCAUAUGUCGCUUAUACGUUGCACUAUUGCUUAACCCCACAAAAAUAUA
rnacentral:snRNA from 2 species